UCUUCUUUUAAGGGAUUUUAUUAACAAGCCUUUAUUUUCAACGUAAUACAAGGUUUUCCGAGCCAAGACUAUGGAGUUGACUGUGGGAUCUUCAUGCUAAUGGUAAUUUUUCUCUUCUCUUCCUUGAGAUUCAUACAAAAGCUAAUUGAAGCUUCUAAACAAUGACAUUUUUAUUUUUUCUUCCAAAUAGUCUGCUUUGUACGUGGCACUGGAUGCACCAUUUGACUAUUGUAAGUAUCUUAUUUACUUUCACAGCAAUGGAGUCUUGAAUCUUUUGAAAGUUGUUAAAUAUGUUUCAUAUUGAUAUUUUACAGUCAGACAUGCUCUACUUGCGUAAGUGGUUGUGCUUGCUGUUGAUGGAGAACUUUGAUCUCAGGAGGGGCGUUUGAUGGCUUACCGCACUGCAAUGGACCAAAAGAAUGACACAGGUUUGAUCUUAAGGAUCUAAUAGUUUGUGCAUGACACUGCAGUGCAAAUAUGUAUUUGCAAGAUAGACUGGAAUCAAUUAUGACACAUCAAAUAUUGCACAGUGUGAGAGAAAGAAAAGAGAAGACCUUGAGAGAUGAGGCCCCGUGGAAUGUGGCGAAACAUGAAACCACAGCUGAGGGUGAAGAGGUAAGCUCAGAACAGAGUGAAAGCAUAUUUAAGUCAUGAGCAGACAUUGUUUCACUAAGACAGAGAUUCCCAAAGUGUGGGGCCCGCCCCCUAGGUAUGGAACGCCAGGA